CUGUGAUCAAGCGGUGUUCUUUUGCUCUUCUUUGCUUUGGGGAUGGUGGGUGAGGUUGCAAAGAGUUUUCAGGAGGAUUCUUCUUUUCCUUUGCAGAAUCCCAGACUGCGUAUUAGAGCUGCUCUUCAUCUCUGCUCGGAAAAGCUUCACCAAAAGAGAAUGGAGAUGAGGAAGGCAAUGGAGAAUGAUGAGGACUAUUUGCAGUCAGCACCCCAACUUCUGCCUUGGCUCUUCCCAUCAAGCCAGAGCAGUUUCUUGGCCUGCGCAACCUGCAGACUGACCUCUCGUGUGUAUCCGUGCUGGACUGAGGGUAUCAAGAGAAGAAGGCAUUUGCUUCAGAGGACAGUACUUUGAUGCUUUCCAGGGCUAAUGGCCAAAGUUCUCAAAGCACUUUUUUUUCUUUUUUUUUUUUCCCCCAUCAGUGAUUUAUACAUUUGUCAAUCUUUCCAUCUUCAUUUACAACUCCGAAUUUAGGUUUUAGGUGAACAAGAACCCUGAAACCAGCUGAAGCCAUAUCAGACAUGAAGCCAUAUCAGACAUAGUAAGGACAUGUGUCUGUGAGGAAGUAAUUCAGAGUGAUUCUCUGGUGUCCUUUGGACAGCUUUCCUCUGGUCCUCUGCACUAAGCAUCCCCAAGGGAUAUUUCAAAGCUCUCGGAAUGAUCUGUCAUUCUCUCUUCCACUAGAGUCUCCAUUAGAAAAGCGUGACUAUUCCUUGCCCAUGUGGAAAAGAAGUCCUCCUUGCGUUGUUUCUAAGCAAAACCUCUUUCUUGUGUUCUAUGGACAGAAACCACUUGGCUAGACAAACUCAAUCAUUGCAAAUGGAAGGAGUGGAACUACUUCAGCACCGUGCUUCGGCUUCUAAGCAGAACUGUAAUGUAGGUGGGGACGUAGCAAGAGGACAUGGCCAAGCCAGGGUGGACUUGAAAGUGCCGUGUCCGAGCCACAGCAAGAAGUCCGUGAUUGCCCCUUGGAGACUGCUGCUCACCUAGUAGCACAGCAGCUGGAACGCUUCUGGAUACUGCUGAUGGAUUGCCACGAAUCAGGCAGUGACACAAGCUACGAGAACGACGGAAGUGACUGGAAGUGAUGCUUCUCCCUGUUCUCCAUUGCAAUUUGUGAAAGAAAGGAGAAGAGAGGAGAAGAAGAAAGGAGAAGACGGGAGGGAAGGGGAGGGAAUGAAGAGAACG